rnacentral:rRNA from 1 species
UUUUUGGAGAGUUUGAUCUUGGCUCAGGACGAACGCUGGCGGCGUGCCUAAUACAUGCAAGUCGAGCGCGGGAAGCAGGAUGAACCCUUCGGGGGGAUUCUUGUGGAACGAGCGGCGGACGGGUGAGUAACACGUGGGCAACCUGCCUGUAAGACUGGGAUAACUCGCGGAAACGCGAGCUAAUACCGGAUGAUACUAUUUGCCGCAUGGCAAGCAGUUGAAAGAUGGCUUAUAGCUAUCACUUACAGAUGGGCCCGCGGCGCAUUAGCUAGUUGGUGGGGUAACGGCCUA